rnacentral:lncRNA from 1 species
AUGGCCACAGAGGCUGAAGUCACCUGCCCUGUGUGCCAGGGGACCCUGAAGGAGCCCAGCGUCGUCAGCCCCUGUCAGCACCAGUUCUGCUUGGGCUGCAUCGUGCGCUGGGCCAAGAGGAGCGUCAGCUGCCCCCUCUGCAGGCAGGACAUCACCUCCAUACGCUACUCCAUCUGGUCCGAAGACGACUUUCUGGAGGUCCAAGUUGUCAGCCAUGCAGAGAACCAAGAGGACAGCCAGCAGGAUGAGCAGGGGGCUGCAGUGCCGGUGCCCCCGGCUGCCGUGAGCGGCCUCCUGCCAGAGGAAUGGGCGGCCCUCUUCAGGGAGCAUCCUGAAAUCCUCGGUCCUCUGAGGCCCUGGGUGCGCCAGCAAGCCAGGGAGUUGUUUGGGGCUGCCUGGUGGGACCAGGAUGUGCUAGAGGCCAAGGUCAUUGCUUGGCUGUGCCGCUUUGGGCUGGAGGAGGUGGUCUUGGUUCGCGAGAUGCAGCCGUUCCUGCAGGGCCAUACAGAGAGCUUUGUGAACCAGCUCAUUGACAGAGCUGUAGACAUGUGCAGCGAUGAGUUCCUCGAGGAGCUGGGGCUCCUGGAGCCCCCUCCUGCAAGCCAGCACCAGAAUGGCCCUGAGGUGGACCUAGGGUGCUCCCAUGUCUGGGAGCAGGAAGACAGCACUGAAGCCACCCCCAGCCAUGCUGCCUCCUGCCAGGAUGCUCCUCUCACCAUCGUGCUGUCCUCCAGCAGCUCAGAGGAUUCUGAUAUCGAGGAGCUCCCCAGCACCUCCAGUGCUGCCCUGCAUGAGGGUCCUGGCCACCCUCCCACUGCACCCAUCCUCACAGAGCGGGAGGAGCCCUGCAGAGAGCCAGGACAGGCAGCAACAGAAGGUGUCGCGAUGCCGGGCUGCAGCCACAGGCCCUCUCCUCCUGGCCAGGACAGGGACAGUUCUCCUGGGGGGCCCCGGCGCCCCCCAAAGAGGAGGUCUAACAGCAGCCCGGACUCUCCCCAGCCCUGCAAGAGGCCGCCUCCGCGGCGCCUUUAG